ensembl:lncRNA
UCUGCGUGUGUCUGCUCGUGGCUCACCUCCUCUUUUUGCUCGUACAACAUUUCCUGCAUCUCAUCCACCCACACAAGGUGCUGUGUCAGACUCUUGCAGGCAUCCUCCAAUUUGCCUUCCUGUGCUGCUUCAUGUGGAUGCACCUGGAGGGCAGCACACUCGUCCUAUUGGUCAGUCGACUGAGACACAUCAGAGCCUACAGCAGUCAGGAGUCCUGGUGGAAAUACCUGCACCUGAUUGGCUACGGUGUUCCCCUGAUGGUGGUGGGCGUGUCUGCUGCAGUGAUGCCUGACGGCUAUGGGAGUGAUCAGUGUUGGCUAAGAGACAAAAAUGGCUUCCCAUGGAGUUUUGUUGGACCCGUUGUCUUUAUCCUUGUGGUGUGUAC